rnacentral:rRNA from 1 species
AGCAGCCGCGGUAAUUCCAGCUCCAAUAGCGUAUAUUAAAGUUGUUGCAGUUAAAAAGCUCGUAGUUGAAUUUCGGGAUCAAUAUAUCGGUCGUGCCUUUGGUACGUACUGGUAUCAUUGAUUUCUCCUUUCUGACGAAUCAUGAUGUCAUUAAUUUGGUGUUAUGAGGAGUUAGGACUGUUACUUUGAAAAAAUUAGAGUGUUUAAAGCAGGCAUUAGCUUGAAUACAUUAGCAUGGAAUAAUGAAAUAGGACGUUUGACCCUAUUUUUGUUGGUUUUUAGGAUCGACGUAAUGAUUAAUAGGGAUAGUUGGGGGCAUUAGUAUUCAAUUGUCAGAGGUGAAAUUCUUGGAUUUAUUGAAGACUAACCACUGCGAAAGCAUUUGCCAAGGAUGUUUUCAUUAAUCAAGAACGAAAGUUAGGGGAUCGAAGACGAUCAGAUACCGUCGUAGUCUUAACCAUAAACUAUGCCGACUAGGGAUCGGAUGAUGUUAAUUUUAUAAUGACUCAUUCGGCGCCUU